rnacentral:lncRNA from 1 species
GGGCAGCUUCAUCUCUCCCUUGGCCUUAGGCUGGCCUGGGCAGCAACAGCUCUGUCUCUGGCUGUCAGGGCUGCCAGGAUGUGACAAGCGGCAGAUGGGCCUCUGAUCAAUGGACUCCGUCCCCGAGCAAGGACGGUGGGGCUGGGGGCAGGAUGGGGGAGCAGCCGCUAAUGGAUGGGCCCAGGAGCAGUGAUGGAUGGGCAGGAAGAAGCUGCCAUUUGUCUUGGGGAAGUGAGUGACUCCGAGGAGGAGGGGGAGGGAGGGUGGCCCACAGGCUGGGAGAGAGGAGACAGCUGGGAGCCCAGCCAGCUGGGAAGGUGGGGGGAGGGUGCCCCAGCUGGGAUGGGGCAGCGAAGAAGUUUCCUGCCUUAAACCAGAGCUCCCAGCCCUGGCCAGAGAGCAGCCUACCAUGUGGCGCAAAAGAUAUGAAGGAAUCCUCUGGAAAUCAGGCCCUUGCCUUGCUCCUAUUCAGGGUUAGGUCAAGCCUCUGCAGGACUGAUUUCCCUUUUCCUUUUUUCUUUUAGGGCCACAGAGACAGCAUAUGGAAGUUCCUGGGCUAGAGGUCAAACAGAAGCUGCAGCCGCCGGCCUACACCACAGCCACAGCAAUGCCAGAUCCGAGCCACAUCUGUAACCUACACCACAGCUCAUGGCAACGCCAGAUCCUUAAUCCACUAGGCGAGGCCAGGGAUCGAACCUGAAUCCUCAUGGAUACUAGUCGAGUUUGUUUCCGCUGAGCCACGACGGGAACUCCAGGACUGAUUUCCCUUGAAGGCCCUAAAUGCUCUUCCUCGCCUCCCCUUACUGUCCUCUGCUCAGGCCCCAAACUAGGCAGCACGCUGGCUCACUCUUCCUCGAGGUGCCUCCAGGCCUCUCCCUGCUGUGUCCCAUCCGUGAUGCCCUCUCCCCAGACACCUGCCUGCGGUCUGAGGUCAGAGAGGCCUUCUCUGAGCACUGCUCAUAACACAGCAGUGGUUCUGCAGCCUGGGCCCCUGCUGCCGCCUGGCGCUCCCUGUCACUGUGACCCCCACCUGUUAUUAUUAUUUUUAGUACCAGUCACCAUCUGAUAUACUGCGUAUUUUUCUGCUUCCUCUGGUCUGUCUCCCCCACUAGACCCAGGGCUCUUUAUUUAUUUACUUAUUUAUUUUUGUCUUUUUAGGGCCAUUUCUAGUCAGGUUCUUAACCCACUGAGCCACAACAGGAACUCCAAGGACUCUUUUAUUUCUAUUUAUUUUUUUUAUUUGUUUGGGAGUUCCCAUCGUGGCUCAGUGGAAAUGAUUAGGAUUGGUGAGGAUGCAGGUUCGAUCCCUGGCCUUGCUCAGUGGGUUAAGGAUUGGGUGUUGCCAUGAGCUGUGGCUUAGUUUGCAGACAAGUCUCGGACUUGGCAUUGCUGUGGCUGUGGCUGCGUGGCUACAGCUCUGAUUCGACCCCUAGCCUGGGAACCUCCAUAUGCCUCAGGUGCAGCCCUAAAAAGACAAAAAAUAAUAAUAAUAAUAAAAAAUUUGUUUAUCUGGGCUAUACCUGCAGCAUGUAGAAGUUCCUGGGCCAGGAAUCAAAUCCCCACCACAGCUGCUCCAGAGCCACAUCAGUGACAACACUGGAUCCUUAAGCCACUGAGCCACUAGGGAACUCCAGCUCUGGACUCUUUUGUUUGCUGCUGUAUCCCUGGUGUUUAGAAUAGCACUCAGGAGGGGUUCCGUGAAUAACUCUUGCUAGCAGGAGGGGAAGGAUUCAAACUCCAGCCCUGACGCUGGCUGGCGUUGUGGGUUUGGGCCAUCUCCCGAGCUUCAGGGUUCUCAGCUGCAGGAUGAAAUGACCAUCCUUCUCCCAGAGUCCCUGGGAAGAUGCCAGCAGGCAGCUGCAUCCCUGUAGGGCCUGGUAAUGGCCAGCUCUGUAACCAGGAGCUACUUUUACCAGCAUUGUCCAUGACCCCUGAUCACGAGGUCAUCCCCUCUGUCUGUUCACCCCAAGUCUCUGCCCUCACCUUGGAUCCCCCCAGAAAGUUGGCCUUCUGUGCUCCCCAAGCCAGCCCUGAAGGAGAUACUCUGUCCUCAUGCCUCAAACCAUAGCCUCUGCCGCCAAGGGUCACCCUGGUCCUGGUGGCUGUCAUUGUCUGUUUCACCCUCAGUCUUCAACCCUGAAGAUAAUGUCGAGAUAGCUUUGUUCUUGUUUUUUCUUUUUUGCUUUUUAGGGCUGCACCCGCAGCAUUUGGAGGUUCCUAGCUUGGGAGCCUCCACAUGCCGCAGGUGUGGCCCUAGAAAAGACAAAAAAAAAGAGAUUCACCUUAGUAGGCAAAGGCUACUUUUCUGCAAACACCUGACACUGCCUGUGGGCACUUUUCUGGCCUCGGGGACGUGUUCGGGGUAUAAGGGGACCCCAAAGUACCAGAGCCUUAAUGUGCCCAGAAGCAGCCCUCAAUCGAUGGCAGACACAUGAUGGAUAAACACCCCAGCUCCCCCACCCUUAAAAGGAGGAUCACAAAGUUCUAAGGUCCUGGACUUGAGUGAUGGUUCAUUUUACGCGUCACCUUGACUGGCCGUGGAGUGCCCGGAUGAAGACGUGAUUUCUGGGGGUGUCUCUGGGGGUGUUUCUGGAUGAGAUAGAGGUGCACUUGACCUGGUGGGCUUUGUAAAAUACCUGGCUCUCCCCCAUGUCAGGGGGCAGCAUUCAACCCACUGAGGGCCUGAGUGGAAUGGAGGCCAAGGAAGGAGACGGUUCCCCUUUUUGCCUGCUUCACGGUCUCACCUGGGACAUGGUACCUCAGUUUCUCCUGACCUUGGAUCGAGUUGACACCGUUGACUCCCCUGUUUCUCAAACCUUCAGACUCAGAUUGAAUCACACCACUGGUUCCAGCUUGUGGGCAGCAGAUCCGGGGCUUCUCGGCCUCCAUAGUCGCGUGAGCCAGUUCCUCCUAAUAAACCAAUGUGUAUGUACGUAUCUUAUUGAUUCUGUUUCUCUGGAGGACCCUGACUAAUGCAGCUUGUUAGGAGGAUUAAAUGCAAAGGUGCAGGCACAAAGCACAGAGCCUGGCUUGUGUACAUCAGAGCUUAAAGCAAAACAGCUAACUGGAUAAUUCCCCCAAACAAAGGCAGCUAAAAUCCAGAUCUCGUCCCCUCAGUCUUCCGCUGGUUAAACUCUUUCCAACCAAUCUCUGCUAUUUGAUCCUCUCUGAUAAUAUUUUCUCUUCUCUCACCAUAAAUGGUUGAAUCCUCAGCAUCCUUGGAUCUGGCCAAGCCCCUCUUGAAGUGUGGAAUCCAUGUUGCAGGUGGAGCAAGGGCUGUGUAGAGCUAGACUGUCACCUCCUUGGUUUAUACCUCUAUUGAUGAAUCCCUCUGUUAAUGAAUCUCUCAAUGUCAGAUCCUAUUACCUUUGGUGUUUCCUGUUGCGUUAAAGAAGAAACUUACUGCACUUAUCUUUUGUUUCUUGUCAUGCUAUAUCUGGUCCCAAAGGCAGAGCUUCUCAUGUACCCAGCCCACACUGGUAAACUGAUGAUGGAGCUUAGAAUUCCAAACUAUGGAGUUCCCGUCGUAGCGCAGUGGUUAACGAAUCUGACUAGGAACCAUGAGGUUGCGGGUUCGCUCCCUGCCCUUGCUCAGUGGGUUAAGCGUCCGGUGUUGCCAUGAGCUGUGGUGUAGGUCACAGACGCGGCUUGGAUCUGGCGUUGCUGUGGCUCUGGUGUAGGCUGGAGGCUACAGCUCCGAUUAGACCCCUAGCCUGGGAACCUCCAUAUGCCACGAGAGCGGCCCAAUAAAUGGUAAAAAAGACAAAAGAAAAAAAAAAAAA